AUUUCUGCAAGCUGGAACUUGCUGCCCUAGUCCCCGAGGGCUCGCAGCCGGAACUCGAACACGCUGCAACCAACUCUGGCAAGCCAGCUUGCUGUAUCAGACCUGGCUCCCAGCCUGGGCCAGGUGACCACCCCUGAGCGGCCGGGCAAACCGAGGGGAAACUCGCGCAUGCCUUGAUGCUAUUGGGUCGCCAAGGGUUCAUUUCAGGUCACUUGGUCAUUCUUCUGCCUCCAGCAGGUCUGGUUGCUAGGACUGGAGACAUGAGAAGCAGGUAGACUGGCUCCUUUGAUCCCACUCAGUACUCCUAAUCUCCAGUGGUCAGAGCACACAGGAAAGAGGACACCUGUGCCCCUCCAUCCAACUAUGAAAAACAAAAAAGCUGGCACCAAGAAAUUUGAAUUUUCCCAGGAAUCUCAAUGCUGGGAGAAAGAAAAGGCUGAAGCCUGGUGCCAGCCAAAGAGAGCUUGUCUCUCAGGAAGAGACUUCACAUGGUUCUGAUUCCUCUCUUACAGCUCGAGUAGCCUUCUCAGUCGAACCGUUCAUGUUGCGAGCUGCUGGCAGCCGCAACAUUUUGGCGCCCGAAGAGGGACCUGAAGAAUGGCAGAGAGAUGCUAAGGGAAACGCUGCUGCUGUGGAGCUCCACAGGAAAGGAUCUUCGUAUCGGACAUCGGAGCAACGGAUAGGAGCUGCACAGCACUCAAAACUGUGCAUACUGGUUUGUGAUCAUACAAAUUCAGUAUGGGCAUCGCUUGGUGCAGAGAGCACUGCAGGGAAAGGUCCAGCUUAACCAUUUCUGAGUUUCCUGUGAGAUAAACCUGGUUUAAAAGAGGGAGAAAAUGUAGUCUCCCCUCCCCCAGCCUGAAACCUGCUUGCUCAGGGGUGGAGCUUCCUGCUCAUUCAUUCUGCCACGCCCACUGCUAGAACCUGCGGAGCCACACACGUGCACCUUUCUACUGGACCAGAGAUUAUUCGGCGGGAGUCGGGUCCCCUCCCCCUUCCUUUAUAACUAGUGUCGCAACAAUAAAAUUUGAGCUUUGAUCAGAA
rnacentral:lncRNA from 1 species